rnacentral:misc_RNA from 1 species
GGAUAUAAAUGUUACAAACGAACACCGCUGAAAUCAUAACAGAUAACAGCUGUUUUCCUUCAAAUAUUUUUAGGUUAUCAGUUUCAAAUUUCUCAUGGAAUUUGAACUAAAUAACAUCGAUACUGAUACGAGAGACCAUAACAUCAUGGAAAAGGAAGACGAAUUUUUGCAUACAUAUUUCAAUCAAGUUUCUCAAUUGUGUUACGAAAAAGCGAAAGAACAUGUUGAAAAAGCAAAAGAGCCCAAAGGAGUCGCUACGCCUUGGAAUACAUUUUUGCACCAUUUGCAGCAACUCAUCAUAGCCGAAAAGAGCUACAUCGAGAUAGGAUUUUUACAAAACAAGCAUAAAAGUUUUCUCAGAAAAGAUAACUCGUUGCGAUCAGUGUAUGAAACUAUGAGGAACGACUUCAAGAAACUAGAAGAUAAUUCUAAGCCAGCUGUUGGGGAUAAUAGAGUCCACAGAGGAUGUAUCAAUAUAAUCCAAUUCCUCAAUGCAAGGAUAAGUCUAAUUGAAAUAUAUGAGAAAAUCUACGGCAUGACUUCCAAUAAACAUUUCCAGUAUAACGAAAUAGCAAGUCACAUCGAAUCGGUCAUUCAGACUCAUUUGGAAGGUUUCUCAGACAUCAGCAUGACUCCGAUUAAAGCUGUUUUUUGCUUGGAGGGUGAAAUAUUGGAAAAGCUCUUCAAAGCUUUGAGUGAACUCCAAAAAUUGCAAUUCUUAUCGUCACUCACUUUGAUACAUGCUGCACACACAAGACUCAUUGCGUGGGAGAACAAAAUUCAACCGCGGGAGGUGUGGAAAUUGGGGAUAUUCAAAAAUAAUCCAGUGCCAGCUCUUUUUCAAUGGAUACAAAAACUGAAAAGUGCAGUGCUGAGCAAAUUCAGCUUGUACUUCCACGACAUCUUAGCAAAACAAACUACCUCGAGUGACAUGAAGUACUUGUGCUCAAAAUUACAACAAGACUAUUAUCAAAAGAUGAUAGCGUUUCUCAAAAAAUAUGACGCGUCCUCAGUGAUCCUCAUGUCCGAUAACGAAGUCAAUUGUGAUAUAACCGAUUAUGAAAGUUUUCCAAUAAUUGUAUCCUAUCCUCCGGUCAUUUUAAAUUCUCAUUGCAGCGCAACAUUCCUCGGCACAACAUGGUUCUGAAAAUGGUAUAUGAAACCUCCCAUGAAUUAACAAGCGGAGAUAAAAUAAUCUAUAAGUUCAGUUCGCAGGAACAAUCUACGUGCAUUCUGACGACAGUUGAGCCUAACAUAUACCUAGUCAUAGUUUUCGAGAGUAAGAAGACAGA